AUUGAACGCUGGCGGCAGGCCUAACACAUGCAAGUCGAGCGGAUGAAGGGAGCUUGCUCCUGGAUGCAGCAGCGGACGGGGGAGUAAUGCCUAGGAAUCUGCCUGGUAGUGGGGGAUAACGUCCGGAUACGGGCGCUAAUACCGCAUACGUCCUGAGGUAGAAAGUGGGGGAUCUUCGGACCUCACGCUAUCUGAUGAGGCUAGGUCGGAUUAGCUAGUUGGGGGGGUAAAGGCCUACCAAGGCGACGAUCCGUAACUGGUCUGAGAGGAUGAUCAGUCACACGGGAACUGAGACACGGUCCAGACUCCUACGGGGAGCAGCGGUGGGGAAUCUUGGGCGAUGGGGGAAAGCCUGAUCCAACAAUGCGGCGUGUGUGAAGAAGGUCUUCGGAUUGUAAAGCACUUUAGGUUGGGAGGAAGGACAGUAAGUUAAUACGUUGCUAUUUUGACGUUACCAACAGAAUAAGCACCGGCUAACUUCGUG
rnacentral:rRNA from 1 species